GAAGCGGCAACAGCUCAAAUUUGAAAUCUGGCCCCUUCGGGGUCCGAGUUGUAAUUUGUAGAGAGUGUUUCGGGUGAGAUCGCGGUCUAAGUCCAYUGGAACANGGCGUCAUAGAGGGUGAGAAUCCCGUAUGUGACUGUGGAUCGAGCCCAUGUGAAGCCUCUUCGACGAGUCGAGUUGUUUGGGAAUGCAGCUCAAAAUGGGUGGUAAAUUUCAUCUAAAGCUAAAUACUGGCUGGAGACCGAUAGCGCACAAGUAGAGUGAUCGAAAGAUGAAAAGCACUUUGGAAAGAGAGUCAAACAGUACGUGAAAUUGUUGAAAGGGAAGCGCUUGCAACCAGACCUGUCCGUAGGUGAUCAGCCGCUGUUCUCAGUGGUGCACUCGCUCUGCGAUCAGGCCAGCAUCGGUUCGGGCGGUCGGAUAAAGGCCUUGGGAAUGUAGCUUCCUUCGGGGAGCCUUAUAGCCCUCGGUGCAAUGCGGCCAGCCGGGACCGAGGACCGCGCUUCGGCUAGGAUGCUGGCGUAAUGGUUGUAAGCGACCCGUCUUGAAACACGGACCAAGGAGUCUAACAUCUAUGCAAGUGUUUGGGUGUUAAACCCAUACGCGGAAUGAAAGUGAACGGAGGUGAGAACCCUUAAGGGCGCAUCAUCGACCGAUCCAGAUGUCUUCGGAUGGAUUUGAGUAUGAGCAUAGCUGUUGGGACCCGAAAGAUGGUGAACUAUGCCUGAAUAGGGUGAAGCCAGAGGAAACUCUGGUGGAGGCUCGCAGCGGUUCUGACGUGCAAAUCGAUCGU
rnacentral:rRNA from 1 species